CCGACACGGGGAGGUAGUGACGAAAAAUAACAAUACAGGACUCUAACGAGGCCCUGUAAUUGGAAUGAGUACAUCCUAAAACUCUUAACGAGUAUCCAUUGGAGGGCAAGUCUGGUGCCAGCAGCCGCGGUAAUUCCAGCUCCAACAGUGUAUGCUAAAGUUGUUGCGGUUGAAAAGCUCGUAGUUGGAUUUUGGGCGAGCGCCGCCGGUCCGUCGCAAGGCGUGUCACUGGUUGCGUUCGCCUCACCUUCGGUUCUCCGUCGGUGCUCUUGACUGAGUGUCGGCGGUGGCCGAUAAGUUUACUUUGAAAAAAUUAGAGUGUUCAAAGCAGGCUGUUCGCCUGCAUAGUGUUGCAUGGAAUAAUGGAAUAGGACCUCGGUUCUAUUUUGUUGGUUUUCGGAGCACGAGGUAAUGAUUAAGAGGGACAGACGGGGGCGUCCGUACUCUGCCGUUAGAGGUGAAAUUCUUGGAUCGGCGGAAGACGAACUACUGCGAAAGCAUUCGCCAAGAAUGUUUUCUUUAAUCAAGAGCGAAAGUCAGAGGUUCGAAGACGAUCAGAUACCGUCCUAGUUCUGACUAUAAACGAUGCCAACUAGCGAUCGGGAGGCGUUACCAUGACGACCUUUCCGGCAGCUUCCGGGAAACCAAAGUCUUUGGGUUCCGGGGGAAGUAUGGUUGCAAAGCUGAAACUUAAAGGAAUUGACGGAAGGGCACCACCAGGAGUGGAGCCUGCGGCUUAAUUUGACUCAACACGGGGAAACUCACCCGGCCCGGACACAGGUAGGAU
rnacentral:rRNA from 1 species